UGUAAUGAAGGCCUUCCUUGG
ensembl:piRNA 21ur-7591 ncRNA